CGAAUACGAGACGCUACGGCGUCGAAGUAGUGUAUGUCAUACUUCCAAGAAAAGCUUGCACUGUCAUAAAUAAAAAUGCCUGUACCAUAACCGACACAGGUGGGUAGGUAGAGUAUACUAAGGGGCGCGAGAUAACUCUCUCUAAGGAACUCGGCAAAAUAACUCCGUAACUUCGGGAGGAGGAGUGCCUUAUUUAAAUAAGGUUGCAAUAACAAGAUCCAAGCAACUGUUUACCAAAAACACAGGUCUCCGCUAAGUCGUAAGACGAUGUAUGGGGGCUGACGCCUGCCCAGUGCCAGAAGGUUAAAGAAGUUGGUUAGCAUCUGCGAAGCUGGUAACUGAAGCCCUGGUGAACGGCGGCCGUAACAAUAACGGUCCUAAGGUAGCGAAAUUCCUUGUCGGGUAAGUUCCGACCCGCACGAAUGCGUAAUGAUUUGGAUACUGUCUCGGAGAGGGGCUCGGUGAAAUAGACUUGUCUGUGAAGAUGCGGACUACCUGCACCUGGACAGAAAGACCCUAUGAAGCUUUACUGUAACUUGAAAUUGAAAUUGGACUUUAUUCGCGCAGUAUAGGUGGGAGGCGUUGAAAAUACUCUUGCGGGAGUAUUGGAGCUAUCAGUGAGAUACCACUCUUAUAAUGUUAGAUUUCUAACUUUGAACCAUUAUCUGGUCAAAGAACAGUUUCAGGCGGGCAGUUUGACUGGGGCGGUCGCCUCCCAAACGGUAACGGAGGCGUACAAAGGUUUCCUCUGAACGGAUAGAAAUCGUAUCUAGAGUAUAAAGGCAUAAGGAAGCUUGACUGUGAGACCUACAAGUCGAGCAGGGACGAAAGUCGGUCUUAGUGAUCUGACGGUACUGAGUGGAAAGGCCGUCACUCAACGGAUAAAAGUUACUCUAGGAUAACAGGCUGAUCUCCCCCAAGAGUUCACAUCGACGGGGAGGUUUGGCACCUCGAUGUCGGCUCAUCGCAUCCUGGGGCGGUAGUACGUCCCAAGGGUUGGGCUGUUCGCCCAUGAAAGCGGUACGCGAGCUGGGUUCAGAACGUCGUGAGACAGUUCGGUCCAUAUCCGGUGUAGGCGUUAGAAUAUUGAGAGGAGCCUUCUCUAGUACGAGAGGACCGAGAAGGACAUACCUCUGGUGUACCAGUUAUCGUGCCAACGGUAAACGCUGGGUAGCUAUGUAUGGAGUGGAUAACCGCUGAAAGCAUCUAAGUGGGAAGCCCACCUCAAGAUAAGUAUUCUCA
rnacentral:rRNA from 1 species